GAUGAACGCUGGCGGCGUGCUUAACAUAUGCAAGUCGAACGGAAAGGCUCCUGCUUGCAGGGGUACUCGAGUGGCGAACGGGUGAGUAACACGUGGGUGAUCUGCCCUGCACUUCGGGAUAAGCCUGGGAAACUGGGUCUAAUACCGGAUAGGACCACAUUUUGGAUGGUGUGGUGGAAAGUUUUUCGGUGUGGGAUGAGCUCGCGGCCUAUCAGCUUGUUGGUGGGGUAAUGGCCUACCAAGGCGUCGACGGGUAGCCGGCCUGAGAGGGUGUACGGCCACAUUGGGACUGAGAUACGGCCCAGACUCCUACGGGAGGCAGCAGUGGGGAAUAUUGCACAAUGGGCGCAAGCCUGAUGCAGCGACGCCGCGUGGGGGAUGACGGCCUUCGGGUUGUAAACUCCUUUCGCUAGGGACGAAGCGCAAGUGACGGUACCUGGAGAAGAAGCACCGGCUAACUACGUG
rnacentral:rRNA from 1 species